CCCUCCAAGAAAUAUGAUUCUCCUUCACCGCUUUUUGUUUUCGUAAUUCUGUUUUACUUCCAUUCAGCUGCCUUGACCUGCAAGUAAUGCUGCUGGGUCAACCCUCUGUUCGAAGCCACCGGCCAACAGCCACCACCGGCCAACUCACCCCUCUCUCUCUCUCUCUCCUUCUCCCUCUUCAGCUCAGAGUCGUGCACAGCUAUCCUGGAAAAGCACAAGGAAAUAUCCUACUCUUCAUACAUCAGCUACAAGUCAACAGCAGUAGAGCACAUUUCCAUUACUCCUUACCGUACACCAUGAUCCUACGCUGGAGCCAAAGACCAAGUCACUUGGUAGAGCUAGAAGAAAGACAAAACAUCUCAUGCUGGUACCAGACUUUGCAGCCUGGAGGACAACAGCAGAACACCUUUCAGUUGAAGCGAGUGCACUGUUGUUCUUCCCUUGCCCAAGCCACUUGGUUGGACCUAAACCAGAUCUUUAAACAACUAUCGUUUGGUCUAGAACCAGAUACAGCAAAACUGCAGCCAAAAUGGCCAGCUUUUCAAAGGGAAGUCUGCUUGCCAGGGUAGGUGCGGGUGGUCAUGGAAGGAGGAGGGAUGUUUAUUCAUCACCCAUAGCUGGGCCAUCAAUAUUCACCCAGAGGGGUCUUUCUCAGAUGGAAAGACAUCACCAGCCAAAACAAAAGCUAAACAAACAAAUGCUAAACAUAUUUCAUGAAAUAUUUCUCUUUUUUUAUUAUUAUUUUUAUUUUUUUUAAAACAUUGUCAUUUGUGGGGCAUGGAGGAGGUUUGCAGUCCGACUUCCUCAGGGAGUUCAGCCCUGGGAACUCACCAGCACUACUCAUGCACACACGGCACGGUGUGACCACAUUAUCUGUGCCCAGGGGGGCACCCCCAAGCCCCCAGUACACAGAGCAAAGGAGCAGCCAUGGGAACUACAGCAGCUCCUCGGGCCUCAGGAGAGCAGCUUUGCAGGAAGGGGCUCCAGCUGAGUGCAUGAGAUUUUCCCCAAGACAAAAUGCCUUUCCUAUCCCCCUCCCUCC
ensembl:lncRNA